GUUUCGCAACGAACUCUGAACGCAGCAGUCGAGCCGAGUGCCAAGAACCCCGAGUCUGUAACUGGGGGACCGAGUCCCGUCCCGAUUCUCGAUUCUCGAGUCUUGAGUCCAAGGGAGGGGGUGACCAAGAGGGAAACCAGACGUGUCCUCGUUCCAGGACUACGACUUCGGCUCGAUCCGAUGCGAUUCGGCUGCGCUUUCGGUUCGGUUUCGGCUUUCGACGCACUGCACUCGCUGCGACCAGAGUUUUGAAGUUCCCGCUGGCCGAGUUUCGAAUCAGUUGCCGCCGACUUGUUGGGUCAUUUGCAUAUAAAUCGAUCAGUGCGCCAGUUAUCGGGCCAUCGGAACAAAAGAAAAACAUUUUAAUUAACUAACGAUCAAUUAGUAGAACUGGAUAAGAAAGUGCCGCGAUAAAACCGAGUGACUUCCCGAAAUAAAUAAUUUAUUAUCUGACUUUCCUGCCCGCAAUGUCAAGGACGUUGUCGCAUUGUCGUUGCCAUCCGCUUGGCUGAAGCUAAUUUCAUUGAGAAGGAGAGCGAGGGGAUCCUGCCAGAAGGCUGGCGCCCGACGGUGGGAAUUUCAUCAGCUGUUGUUGUUGUUGUUUAUUUCGCAGCAGCAGUCGGCCUAAUAAAAAUGCAAUUUUUAUGGUUAAGAAAAUAGAGCGCGGACGCCGUUGUGUUGCACAUUGGAAAUUGUGCAGAAGCCAGAAGAAAAUGUGUCUUGGAAAAUGGAAAAGCACGAGCAGCAGCUAUAACAUUGAGCCAGUGAUGUAAUACAGAGCAAAAGUGAAGCGGCGGCAAUUGGCAUUGCAAAAAAGAAACAGAUUAUACAAUUUGUGUUGCUGCUGCACUGAACUAGGACAAC
rnacentral:sRNA from 1 species